rnacentral:rRNA from 1 species
UUGAACGCUGGCGGCAUGCUUUACACAUGCAAGUCGAACGGUAACAGGGAGCUUGCUCCGCUGACGAGUGGCGAACGGGUGAGUAAUGCAUCGGAACGUACCCAGUCGUGGGGGAUAACGUAGCGAAAGUUACGCUAAUACCGCAUACGUCCUGAGGGAGAAAGCGGGGGACCGUAAGGCCUCGCGCGAUUGGAGCGGCCGAUGUCGGAUUAGCUAGUUGGUGGGGUAAAGGCCUACCAAGGCGACGAUCCGUAGCUGGUCUGAGAGGACGACCAGCCACACUGGAACUGAGACACGGUCCAGACUCCUACGGGAGGCAGCAGUGGGGAAUUUUGGACAAUGGGGGCAACCCUGAUCCAGCCAUUCCGCGUGAGUGAAGAAGGCCUUCGGGUUGUAAAGCUCGUUCAGCAGGAACGAAACGGUGGCCAUUAAUACUGGCUACUAAUGACGGUACCUGAAGAAGAAGCACCGGCUAACUACGU